rnacentral:rRNA from 1 species
AGCGAACGCUAGCGGCGGGCCUAACACAUGCAAGUCGAGCGGGGGAGCAAUCCCCAGCGGCGGACGGGUGAGUAACACGUAGGUUAUGUGCCCUUUGGUGGGGAAUAACCGUGGGAAACCAUGGCUAAUUCCGCAUAUCGAGCGAAAUCUUGAAAGCCUUCGGGCGCCAAAGGAGCAACCUGCGGCCCAUUAGCUUGUUGGUAGGGUAACGGCCUACCAAGGCGAUGAUGGGUAGCUGGUCUGAGAGGAUGAUCAGCCACACUGGAACUGAGACACGGUCCAGACUCCUACGGA